rnacentral:rRNA from 1 species
GACGAACGUUGGCGGCGUGCUUAACACAUGCAAGUCGAACGGAAAGGCCCUGCUUUUGUGGGGUGCUCGAGUGGCGAACGGGUGAGUAACACGUGAGUAACCUGCCCUUGACUUUGGGAUAACUUCAGGAAACUGGGGCUAAUACCGGAUAGGAGCUCCUGCUGCAUGGUGGGGGUUGGAAAGUUUCGGCGGUUGGGGAUGGACUCGCGGCUUAUCAGCUUGUUGGUGGGGUAGUGGCUUACCAAGGCUUUGACGGGUAGCCGGCCUGAGAGGGUGACCGGCCACAUUGGGACUGAGAUACGGCCCAGACUCCUACGGGAGGCAGCAGUGGGGAAUAUUGCACAAUGGGCGGAAGCCUGAUGCAGCAACGCCGCGUGCGGGAUGACGGCCUUCGGGGUGUAAACCGCUUUCGCCUGUGACGAAGCGGGAGUGACGGUAAUGUGUAAAGAAGCACCGGCUAACUACGUG